rnacentral:rRNA from 1 species
AUGCACGCUGGCGGCGUGCCUAAUACAUGCAAGUCGCGCGAACAGAUAAGGAGCUUGCUCCUUUGACGUUAGCGGCGGACGGGUGAGUAACACGUGGGUAACCUACCUAUAAGACUGGGAUAACUUCGGGAAACCGGAGCUAAUACCGGAUAACAUUUGGAACCGCAUGGUUCUAAAGUGAAAGAUGGUUUUGCUAUCACUUAUAGAUGGACCCGCGCCGUAUUAGCUAGUUGGUAAGGUAACGGCUUACCAAGGCAACGAUACGUAGCCGACCUGAGAGGGUGAUCGGCCACACUGGAACUGAGACACGGUCCAGACUCCUACGGGAGGCAGCAGUAGGGAAUCUUCCGCAAUGGGCGAAAGCCUGACGGAGCAACGCCGCGUGAGUGAUGAAGGGUUUCGGCUCGUAAAACUCUGUUAUUAGGGAAGAACAAAUGUGUAAGUAACUGUGCACGUCUUGACGGUACCUAAUCAGAAAGCCACGGCUAACUACGUG